rnacentral:rRNA from 1 species
AACGAACGCUGGCGGCAUGCCUAACACAUGCAAGUCGAACGAGACCUUCGGGUCUAGUGGCGCACGGGUGCGUAACGAGUGGGAACCUGCCCUUAGGUUCGGAAUAACUCACCGAAAGGGGUGCUAAUACCGGAUAAUGUCUUCGGACCAAAGAUUUAUCGCCUUUGGAUGGGCCCGCGUUGGAUUAGCUAGUUGGUAGGGUAAAAGCCUACCAAGGCGACGAUCCAUAGCUGGUCUGAGAGGAUGAUCAGCCACACUGGGACUGAGACACGGCCCAGACUCCUACGGGAGGCAGCAGUGGGGAAUAUUGGACAAUGGGCGAAAGCGUGAUCCAGCAAUGCCGCGUGAGUGAUGAAGGCCUUAGGGUUGUAAAGCUCUUUUACCCGGGAUGAUAAUGACAGUACCGGGAGAAUAAGCGCCGGCUAACUCCGUG